rnacentral:rRNA from 1 species
GACGAACGCUGGCGGCGUGCUUAACACAUGCAAGUCGAACGGAAAGGCCCUGCUUUUGUGGGGUGCUCGAGUGGCGAACGGGUGAGUAACACGUGAGUAACCUGCCCUUGACUUUGGGAUAACUUCAGGAAACUGGGGCUAAUACCGGAUAGGAGCUCCUGCUGCAUGGUGGGGGUUGGAAAGUUUCGGCGGUUGGGGAUGGACUCGCGGCUUAUCAGCUUGUUGGGGGGGUAGUGGCUUACCAAGGCUUUGACGGGUAGCCGGCCUGAGAGGGUGACCGGCCACAUUGGGACUGAGAUACGGCCCAGACUCCUACGGGAGGCAGCAGUGGGGAAUAUUGCACAAUGGGCUGAAGCCUGAUGCAGCAACGCCGCGUGCGGGAUGACGGCAUUCGGGUUGUAAUCCGCUUUCGCCUGUGACGAAGCGUGAGUGACGGUAAUGGGUAAAGAAGCACCGGCUAACUACGUG